rnacentral:rRNA from 1 species
CCUACGGGAGGCAGCAGUGAGGAAUAUUGGUCAAUGGACGCAAGUCUGAACCAGCCAUGCCGCGUGCAGGAAGACGGCUCUAUGAGUUGUAAACUGCUUUUGUACGAGGGUAAACGCAGAUACGCGUAUCUGUCUGAAAGUAUCGUACGAAUAAGGAUCGGCUAACUCCGUGCCAGCAGCCGCGGUAAUACGGAGGGUUCGAGCGUUAUCCGGAUUUAUUGGGGUUAAAGGGUGCGUAGGCGGUCGGGUAAGUUAGAGGUGAAAUCCCGAGGCUCAACUUCGGAAGUGCCUCUGAUACUGGCCGGCUAGAGAGGAGGUGCGGUAGGCGGAAUGUAUGGUGUAGCGGUGAAAUGCUUAGAGAUCAGACAGAACACCGAUUGCGAAGGCAGCUUACC